GACUUUCCAACUGAGAUGGAGAGAAUGCGCUCCUACUCUCUUUCAAUCGCCGAUGUUAAAACAUCGAGGGCGUAGACCCGAGGGGAGGUUGAGUCAGCAGCUAGUUUUGCCGGAAUAGGAAUAAACGAUGCAAUUUAAUCUGUAGGAGGAAGGUAGAGCAAUAGACGGAAUGAGUCUUAGUUUCAAUAUCCCCUGCUCUUGUUGUACUGUUCAUGGCAUGGUGGGACCAAUAGUUGCUCUUGUUCCCGGACCGGGAAGUUUUUGCAUUGAUGCCGGGAAUACACACUCUCUUUCUCUUUGAAGGAAUCCGCAUGGAAGGCUCUCGACCGGGUCAUGGCAUUGCUCUGGAGUGGAGCCGGGGAAGGAGCGAAGGGCAGAGGAUUUAGCUUUGGCUUUGGUUCGGUUGACCGUAUGACUAUAGUUUAUGUGGUCUUGUUCAAAUAGAAUAGGUCCGGGUGCUAUCACAUAGCCCUAAGCAGGGCAAGGAAGGUCUCUACAACAAAGAGAUAUGCCAAUUAGCGGCACACUUACUAUAAACCUAUUUUAGUUAAAUCCUAUAACAACUCUU
rnacentral:lncRNA from 1 species